AAUAAAUAAAAUCCAAGUAAAGCACUAAUAUCAAACAACCAGCAAGAGUCCACCAAUGGGGAGGCAGGAGUGACACGUGACCAGCGCCUCUCAGUCAGCCCUCCCUUACUUCCUUGCGGGGCGGCGGGCAGCGGGCGGCGGUUACUCUCACGCUCCCGCUGUGUUGACCUUUAUUGGAGUGUUUUGACGAGUGACAGCGGAUCCAACACCACCACGGGGACUCCUACGCACCAGACUAGCCGAGCACAUCAGCACACACCGCGAUGACUCAUUGAACUGGCUGCCCCUCGUGACCUCCUGGAGUGACCCUUCUGACCUCCUGCGAGACCUGCAUUGCCCCCUUGACCAAUACCAGGCAGUUUUUGUGACCUUAGCCUGACAUUAUGAAGUGUGAGGUCACAGCCUGGUGAAGCGGAUCAGGCUGAGCGGCAGCAUGAUUAGAUGAGUACUGGUGAACAGACGAUCUCACGACACCACCACCACCACCACCACCACCACCACCACCACCACCAUCAUCAUCAUCAUCAUCAUCAUCAUCAUCAUCAUCAUCACCACCACCACCACCACCACCACCACCACCACCACCACCACCACCACCACCACCACCACCACCACCAUCAUCAUCAUCAUCAUCAUCAUCAUCAUCAUCAUCAUCAUCAUCAUCAUCAUCAUCAUCAUCACCACCACCACCACCACCACCACCACCACCACCACCACCACC